AAAGUUACCAAAAUGUCUAUGUGGUUAUGAGGCUUACUUUGCAACCAGAUAGCUGUGGGUUCAGUCCCACUGUGUAGCAUCUUGGGCAAGUAUCUUCUGCUUUAGCCCCA